rnacentral:rRNA from 1 species
UUAAGCGACUAAGCGUACACGGUGGAUGCCCUGGCAGUCAGAGGCGAUGAAGGACGUGCUAAUCUGCGAUAAGCGUCGGUAAGGUGAUAUGAACCGUUAUAACCGGCGAUUUCCGAAUGGGGAAACCCAGUGUGAUUCGUCACACUAUCAUUAACUGAAUCCAUAGGUUAAUGAGGCGAACCGGGGGAACUGAAACAUCUAAGUACCCCGAGGAAAAGAAAUCAACCGAGAUUCCCCCAGUAGCGGCGAGCGAACGGGGAGCAGCCCAGAGCCUGAAUCAGUGUGUGUGUUAGUGGAAGCGUCUGGAAAGGCGUGCGAUACAGGGUGACAGCCCCGUACACAAAAAUGCACAUACUGUGAGCUCGAUGAGUAGGGCGGGACACGUGGUAUCCUGUCUGAAUAUGGGGGGACCAUCCUCCAAGGCUAAAUACUCCUGACUGACCGAUAGUGAACCAGUACCGUGAGGGAAAGGCGAAAAGAACCCCGGCGAGGGGAGUGAAAAAGAACCUGAAACCGUGUACGUACAAGCAGUGGGAGCACGCUUAGGCGUGUGACUGCGUACCUUUUGUAUAAUGGGUCAGCGACUUAUAUUCUGUAGCAAGGUUAACCGAAUAGGGGAGCCGAAGGGAAACCGAGUCUUAACUGGGCGUUAAGUUGCAGGGUAUAGACCCGAAACCCGGUGAUCUAGCCAUGGGCAGGUUGAAGGUUGGGUAACACUAACUGGAGGACCGAACCGACUAAUGUUGAAAAAUUAGCGGAUGACUUGUGGCUGGGGGUGAAAGGCCAAUCAAACCGGGAGAUAGCUGGUUCUCCCCGAAAGCUAUUUAGGUAGCGCCUCGUGAAUUCAUCUCCGGGGGUAGAGCACUGUUUCGGCAAGGGGGUCAUCCCGACUUACCAACCCGAUGCAAACUGCGAAUACCGGAGAAUGUUAUCACGGGAGACACACGGCGGGUGCUAACGUCCGUCGUGAAGAGGGAAACAACCCAGANCGCCAGCUAAGGUCCCAAAGUCAUGGUUAAGUGGGAAACGAUGUGGGAAGGCCCAGACAGCCAGGAUGUUGGCUUAGAAGCAGCCAUCAUUUAAAGAAAGCGUAAUAGCUCACUGGUCGAGUCGGCCUGCGCGGAAGAUGUAACGGGGCUAAACCAUGCACCGAAGCUGCGGCAGCGACGCUUAUGCGUUGUUGGGUAGGGGAGCGUUCUGUAAGCCUGUGAAGGUGUGCUGUGAGGUAUGCUGGAGGUAUCAGAAGUGCGAAUGCUGACAUAAGUAACGAUAAAGCGGGUGAAAAGCCCGCUCGCCGGAAGACCAAGGGUUCCUGUCCAACGUUAAUCGGGGCAGGGUGAGUCGACCCCUAAGGCGAGGCCGAAAGGCGUAGUCGAUGGGAAACAGGUUAAUAUUCCUGUACUUGGUGUUACUGCGAAGGGGGGACGGAGAAGGCUAUGUUGGCCGGGCGACGGUUGUCCCGGUUUAAGCGUGUAGGCUGGUUUUCCAGGCAAAUCCGGAAAAUCAAGGCCGAGGCGUGAUGACGAGGCACUACGGUGCUGAAGCAACAAAUGCCCUGCUUCCAGGAAAAGCCUCUAAGCAUCAGGUAACAUCAAAUCGUACCCCAAACCGACACAGGUGGUCAGGUAGAGAAUACCAAGGCGCUUGAGAGAACUCGGGUGAAGGAACUAGGCAAAAUGGUGCCGUAACUUCGGGAGAAGGCACGCUGAUACGUAGGUGAAGCGACUUGCUCGUGGAGCUGAAAUCAGUCGAAGAUACCAGCUGGCUGCAACUGUUUAUUAAAAACACAGCACUGUGCAAACACGAAAGUGGACGUAUACGGUGUGACGCCUGCCCGGUGCCGGAAGGUUAAUUGAUGGGGUUAGCGCAAGCGAAGCUCUUGAUCGAAGCCCCGGUAAACGGCGGCCGUAACUAUAACGGUCCUAAGGUAGCGAAAUUCCUUGUCGGGUAAGUUCCGACCUGCACGAAUGGCGUAAUGAUGGCCAGGCUGUCUCCACCCGAGACUCAGUGAAAUUGAACUCGCUGUGAAGAUGCAGUGUACCCGCGGCAAGACGGAAAGACCCCGUGAACCUUUACUAUAGCUUGACACUGAACAUUGAGCCUUGAUGUGUAGGAUAGGUGGGAGGCUUUGAAGUGUGGACGCCAGUCUGCAUGGAGCCGACCUUGAAAUACCACCCUUUAAUGUUUGAUGUUCUAACGUGGACCCGUGAUCCGGGUUGCGGACAGUGUCUGGUGGGUAGUUUGACUGGGGCGGUCUCCUCCUAAAGAGUAACGGAGGAGCACGAAGGUUGGCUAAUCCUGGUCGGACAUCAGGAGGUUAGUGCAAUGGCAUAAGCCAGCUUGACUGCGAGCGUGACGGCGCGAGCAGGUGCGAAAGCAGGUCAUAGUGAUCCGGUGGUUCUGAAUGGAAGGGCCAUCGCUCAACGGAUAAAAGGUACUCCGGGGAUAACAGGCUGAUACCGCCCAAGAGUUCAUAUCGACGGCGGUGUUUGGCACCUCGAUGUCGGCUCAUCACAUCCUGGGGCUGAAGUAGGUCCCAAGGGUAUGGCUGUUCGCCAUUUAAAGUGGUACGCGAGCUGGGUUUAGAACGUCGUGAGACAGUUCGGUCCCUAUCUGCCGUGGGCGCUGGAGAACUGAGGGGGGCUGCUCCUAGUACGAGAGGACCGGAGUGGACGCAUCACUGGUGUUCGGGUUGUCAUGCCAAUGGCACUGCCCGGUAGCUAAAUGCGGAAGAGAUAAGUGCUGAAAGCAUCUAAGCACGAAACUUGCCCCGAGAUGAGUUCUCCCUGACCCUUUAAGGGUCCUGAAGGAACGUUGAAGACGACGACGUUGAUAGGCCGGGUGUGUAAGCGCAGCGAUGCGUUGAGCUAACCGGUACUAAUGAACCGUGAGGCUUAACCUU